rnacentral:rRNA from 1 species
AGGCAGCAGUGGGGAAUAUUGCACAAUGGGGGAAACCCUGAUGCAGCCAUGCCGCGUGUGUGAAGAAGGCCUUCGGGUUGUAAAGCACUUUCAGUAGGGAGGAAGGUAGUGUAGUUAACACCUGCAUUAUUUGACGUUACCUACAGAAGAAGCACCGGCUAACUCCGUGCCAGCAGCCGCGGUAAUACGGAGGGUGCGAGCGUUAAUCGGAAUUACUGGGCGUAAAGCGCAUGCAGGCGGCCUGUUAAGUCAGAUGUGAAAGCCCGGGGCUUAACCUCGGAAUUGCAUUUGAAACUGGCAGGCUAGAGUCUUGUAGAGGGGGUAGAAUUUCAGGUGUAGCGGUGAAAAUGCGUAGAGAUCUGAAGGAAUACCAGUGGCGAAGGCGGCCCCCUGGACAAAGACUGACGCUCAGAUGCGAAAGCGUGGGGAGCAAACAGGAUUAGAUACCCUGGUAG